AUUGAACGCUGGCGGCAGGCCUAACACAUGCAAGUCGAGCGGAUGAGUGGAGCUUGCUCCAUGAUUCAGCGGCGGACGGGUGAGUAAUGCCUAGGAAACUGCCUGGUAGUGGGGGACAACGUUUCGAAAGGAACGCUAAUACCGCAUACGUCCUACGGGAGAAAGUGGGGGAUCUUCGGACCUCACGCUAUCAGAUGAGCCUAGGUCGGAUUAGCUAGUUGGUGAGGUAAAGGCUCACCAAGGCGACGAUCCGUAACUGGUCUGAGAGGAUGAUCAGUCACACUGGAACUGAGACACGGUCCAGACUCCUACGGGAGGCAGCAGUGGGGAAUAUUGGACAAUGGGCGAAAGCCUGAUCCAGCCAUGCCGCGUGUGUGAAGAAGGUCUUCGGAUUGUAAAGCACUUUAAGUUGGGAGGAAGGGCAGUAAGUUAAUACCUUGCUGUUUUGACGUUACCAACAGAAUAAGCACCGGCUAACUUCGUG
rnacentral:rRNA from 1 species